rnacentral:misc_RNA from 1 species
UCAGUUGUGAAAGACUUAAAAAAAAGUUUUUUAUUUUUUAAGAUAAAAAUUAAUAAUGGCCGGGGCCUAUAGCUCA